CAGUGGCGAACGGGUGAGUAACACGUGGGCAAUCUGCCCUGCACUCUGGGACAACACCGGGAAACCGGUGCUAAUACCGGAUACGACGUACCUCGGCAUCGGGUGUGCGUGGAAAGCUCCGGCGGUGCAGGAUGAGCCCGCGGCCUAUCAGCUUGUUGGUGGGGUGAUGGCCUACCAAGGCGACGACGGGUAGCCGGCCUGAGAGGGCGACCGGCCACACUGGGACUGAGACACGGCCCAGACUCCUACGGGAGGCAGCAGUGGGGAAUAUUGCACAAUGGGCGAAAGCCUGAUGCAGCGACGCCGCGUGAGGGAUGAAGGCCUUCGGGUUGUAAACCUCUUUCAGCAGGGAAGAAGCGCAAGUGACGGUACCUGCAGAAGAAGCACCGGCUAACUACGUGCCAGCAGCCGCGGUAAUACGUAGGGUGCGAGCGUUGUCCGGAAUUAUUGGGCGUAAAGAGCUCGUAGGCGGCCUGUCGCGUCGGAUGUGAAAGCCCGGGGCUUANCCCNGGNUCUGCAUUCGAUACGGGCAGGCUAGAGUUCGGUAGGGGAGAUCGGAAUUCCU
rnacentral:rRNA from 1 species